AGUCUACACCAGACCUUAUGGCAAUGCUGGAUCCCUGACUCAGUGAACAAGGCUAGGGAUCAAACGUUCAUCUUCAUGGAUAAUAGCCAGUUUUGUUUCUGCUGUACCACAGUGGGAACUCCCAAGCUGAAUCUCACUGCUCUUGAACUUACCUGCCAAGAAUCAUUGUAGCCAUGCAUUUAAAUGUUACCUGCUUGAGGCCAGUGAUGGAAUAUGGCAGAAGGAAGAAAAAGGAUGUCAGUCCGGGGCUUUUGGAAAUUUUUCGGAAUAUUUACAGACCGAAGGAUCUCUGCCAAAUAGGCAGGGAAGUGAAAAUAAGAGGAAAAAUUUAACAAUUAAAAGGGUGUCAUGAGAAUGGUUGGUCUGAAGAGAAACGUGGAGGAGAUAUUUCAAUAACUAAUUUUUAACGUGAUAUUUCUUUUGUCAACAAGACUAGGGUAUUCUCAUAGGAAUCUGUGUUUAUGGUGAACAUGGAAAAUAUGAUUGGUGGUAUGGAACUCAAGAAACAGCUUGGGAGGCAGGAUGGUGGAAGAGUAGGGGGACACGCUCGCCAUCUCCCACAAACACACACACACACAAAAACACAUCUACAGGUUAAACCACUUGCACAGAACAGCAAUCAAUCACUGGCAGAAGAACCUAAACUCCAAUAAUGGCAAGAAUCUCAUGAAAUAACUGGGUAAAACAAGAGAAAAGAGGAGAGAGAAGAUGAAUCUGAACUGAACGGGCACUCCUGAAAGGGAAUUGUGGAGGAGAAAGGGAUCCCACAUGCUGGAAAGUCACCUACUCGACAGAAAGAUCAACCAAAUCGGAGGAAUCUCCAGAUGCAGAGAAGAGUGCAGCAGUAAGUUGGAAUUCUGAAAAGCAGAGCGAGAACCGAACAGAUCAUCUGAACUACUGGCAGAGUCACCAAAAAUUGAGACACUUGAGUGGGGGCUGGGCACCAAGACUUCAGCUCCGGAGGUUAGGCCCCAGGAACGGGCUGGGUGGGCAGUGUGGAGACUGCUUGGGGGGGUCUAGGAACCAGUCUGUCAGGUUUGACAGGGCAGAGACUGCCUGGGAGACUAGAAAGCAGAGCAUUGCGGGGGGAGGGAACAAUACGCUGAGGGCUGGGAAGUGGAAAGCUACAUCAGAGAGAAUCUGGGAGAAGAGCUAGACAAGGCACCAGUGUUGGGGAGGGGAGAGAAGGGGUGGGCCCCCAUAGAAUACUCCCCAUGCCACAGCGAGCUCACUGGCCCACCAGCUAUCAGAAAGCUGUGCUUCCCAGUGCAUCCCCCCCCACCUCUCCUCCAUGCACCAGACAUGGGGCUGCCUGCCAUCCCAGAGGGCUGGCCUCAACAACUGCCAGAAGCCUACCACCACAGGGGCUUCCCCUGCCCUGGCCUGCUGGACCUCUUGAGGGGCUACACCCCCACAGAGCAGCACCAAACACUGCCAGCCCCUGGGAAAGGCCUGCAGCCUAGAAAAGCUAGAACAAGCUUGGCUGGGCAGUGAAAAAUCUGCCUACGUGCUCAGGCCAUCCUUCUGAGUUGGGCUGCCCUGGGGAAGAGCCUCCUGGGUUCUCAGCUAGGCACUCCAGCCCUCAGGGGGUGCUGCACUCCUGUGGAACAGCUGCCCAGCACUGCCAGCCUCCUGCAAAAAGCCCCACAGCACAUAAACACCAGAGAAAGCUCUGCCCGGCCAAGUGAAAUCUGCUUCCAUUACAGCACAGACCUCCCAGUCCUGUCUGCCCUAAGGAAGUCCUCCUUUGCCUCAGAGAGACCCUGUCAGCCCCACCCACCCACUGGAAAAGCCACGCUGCCUCAAAGAAGACUGACCAACAAUGCCAGCCCUCAGGAAACAUUCCACGGCAGUGCCAAGGCAAACACUGCCUGGCCAUGGAGAGUUUAACUCCACCAGGAAAAAGAAAACAACAAGCAAGAUGAAGAAGCUGAGAAACCACCCCCGGUUAAAUCAACAGAACUCACCUAAAACAGUCAGCAAUGAAACAGAUCUCUGCAGUCAGACAGACCUGGAGUUCAAAAGAGAAAUAGUGAAAAUACUGAAGGAAUUAAGAGAAGGUAUGAACAGUAAUGCAGACACCCUCAGAAAGGAACUAGAAAAUAUAAGGAGGAGCCAAGAAAAACUAGAACAUUCAUUUGCAGAGAUACAAACUGAACUAAGGGCAGUAAAAACCAGAAUGAAUAAUGCAGAAGAACAAAUUAGUGAUGUGGAAGAUAGAAUAAUGGAAAUCACUUAAUCAGGUCAGCAGACAGAAAACCAAAUCAAAAAACUGGAAAGCAAUAUAAGAGACCUAUGGGAUAAUAUAAAGUGGGCCAAUCUACGCAUAAUAGGAAUUCCAGAAGGAGUAGAAAAAGAUAAGGGAAGGGAAAAUAUAUUUGAAGAAAUUAUCGCUGGAAACUUCCCAAAACUAAAGGAUACUGAGUUCAGGAUACAGGAAUCACAGAGGGCCCCAAAGAAGUUGAACCCAAAUAGACCCACACCAAGACAUAUCAUAAUAAAAAUGGCAAAAGUUAGUGGUAAAGAGAGGAUCCUAAAGGCAGCAAGAGAAAAGCAGAAUGUUACCUACAAGGGAACCUCCAUAAGAUUAUCAGCUGAUUUCUCUACAGAAACUCUACAGGCCAGGAGGGAAUGGCAAGAGAUAUUUAAAGUGCUAAAAGGAAAAAAUAUGCAACCUAGAAUACUCUAUCCAGCAAGAAUAUCAUUUAAAAUAGAAGGAGAAAUAAAAAUUUUUUCCACUAAACAAAAGCUAAAAGAAUACAGCAAUACAAAACCCAGGCUAAAAGAAAUAUUGAAAGGGCUUCUCUAAACCAAAAAGAAAGGAAGGAAAGAAAGGGAGAAAGAAAAAAAAAAAAAAAAAAGAGGAAGAACUAGGAUUGAGGAAACCGAAAUCAGAGAGCAGUCACUCAAAUAAGCCAGCAUAACAGAUUUAAUCAUGAACAUGUU
rnacentral:lncRNA from 9 species